GAUUUUUCUAAAGAGGUAAAGAUGAUGAUAUAUUUUUUUUUUUUGUUGUAAUGACACUGUCGAAUAUGACAUUUAUUUUUUGUUAAGAAAACUCUUAAGGAAAAAAACAUGGCAGACUUAGAGACUGCACUGCAUGUACCGCGAAUAGUUAUCACUUAUAUACGUUUCCAAAUUCACGUAUAUCUAUAUACAUGUAUACUGUUUAAAUAUGUUUAUAUUAGAAACUAUUGUUGGUUACUUUUAAACUGUUUUUCCGACCAGUACUUUGUGGGAUGUUUCGAGUGUCUUUCCAUGUUUCCUGUUAGUUGUCAUUCCUUAAAGUUUCAGUGACCAGAUACUGACUAACCUAAUUAAAGUAUUGACGUAAUUUAUCUUAGGUUUAUUUGCAGCUUUUCGUGCACUGCUCCAAAGCUCUGGAACUCCCUUCCCAUCAAGAUUAGGGAAGCUGACAAGCUAGCUGCUUUCAAAAGCCUGCUAAAAACCCACUUCUUUGUACAAUAUUUUGUUAACAGACCGAUACAUUGAUGCUUUUUUCCCCUUCUUCUUCAUAAAACAGCGUAGAACAGUAUUUUAUCCUAGGGUCACUUAAAUACUUUUAAAUAUGUAUUUAUGUUUAUCUUGUUUAAUCUAUACGUUUUACAUUUAUGAAUUUUGUUAAUGUGGAAUGCAUUAUUUUUGUAUGCAUAUUUGUUAGUAUUUUUGCAAUUUUUCUGUGAAGCACUUUUGAACGUGUACACGUACAUGAAAAGAGUGCUAUAUAAAUGCGGUAUAAUAAUAAUAAUAAUAAUAAUAAUAAUAAUAAUAAUAAAUGAUAGGGAAGUUGUUAACUGCAUGAUUCAUGCAAAGAUACGCACAACACUAGAAGUUUUUCCUUAACUUCAUGCACCGUUUCACCGCGCUCAGGUGACAUAUAUACCGUAAAACGGGCUCUUACGGUAUUAAGCUAUUACUAAGGCUGGAUUGUGGAACUUUCAAUUUAAUUUGGAUAAAACCAAAGAGAAAAUGGACAAAAAAGAGCUUAGAGAGAGAAUGGGUUCGAAUCAACAUUUUCAUCCUGAAAAGAAUCCCUGUAACAGUAAGUUGCCUAAGCAGCACUGGUGGAACGUUCCGAGGGCAUCACAGCCACUGCAGAUUGGCCGGCAGAGAUCUUCGACAUUGGAAGAUUCGUCAUCGUCUCCUGUCGGAUCGCCGGCGUCGUCCUCGCCGUUCAUGCCGUCGUCACCUGUCGGAUCGCCGGCAACUUUACCCAAGCACCCGCAUUUACAUUUUGAUUUCGAGAAACAACGCGCCAGAGCUUUCUCAGCAGACGACCACAAGGAUAGUGUGCUGACAUAGAAAAAAGACUUAUUAUUUGUGCUAACAAAGACAUGAAAUAAGUAUAAUUAUAUUUGUCGAGGUAGCUACAAAAACAAUGGAAAAAGUAACAUAUUAGAUGCAAGUACUUGCUUUAAGUUAUUUCUGUUUACGCAGUGAAAUAUCUACAAGUAUGUCAGACAUAUGUGUACCGUAUCCGAACCAAAUAAAAACUAGUAUGCUUCUUACAAUAUGUUGAAUAUU